CAAACCCUACCAUCUCAUUCACAUCCCUAAUUCUCUAACUCCUCGUGUCCUCUUUUAACCUUCAAUUGCGGUGGUCAACCACAUCCACCGACCCAAUCAUGCUCAUCGUGCUUCCGGUGAGGUCCACGUCAUCUUAGGUCUUGUGUUUCCGUCGGAUCCCAUCCAAAGGCAACAACGGCAGAAAUGGUGAUAUUAUAAAAUCAAGUAAGGAUACAAGAUAUGUGCUUGAGUCUGCAGAGACUCACGAUGGGAUUAAGCAUCCAAGCUGGACACUGCCAGAUCUGACGUCGUUUCAAGCAAAAACUUGGAGAUGACGCUAAUGAGAUGGUAAUUUAAUUAUGAUUAUUAUUUUCAGAUGCCGAUGGAUCAUGGUUAAUUUGAUGCUUAAUAAUUGUGUUUGUGUUUGUCAUAAACUAAGAGAUCUAUAAGUAAUUAAGUUAAAUCUGCGUUUGAAAUGAAGUGUUUAUGUAAAUUUUUAGAACUUUGUAUGCUUUAUGAGAUUUGUUAUUGUUUAAGUUCAAUCUUAUGGAAAAUUUAAGGCUACACAUUUUGAAAAUAUUAAUUGAGUUUUAAGUUUGGAAUC